CUUGUACUUCCUCCGUGCCAAAAUUCUUGUCUUAGAAUUGUCUAGAUACGGAUAUACCUAAUACCAAAAUAUGACUUAAUACAUCCGUAUUUAGACAAAUCUAAGAUAAAAAUUUUAAGACGGAGGGAGUAUAUA
rfam:Triticum aestivum genome assembly, contig: Triticum_aestivum_CS42_TGACv1_scaffold_470970_6AL